CUGAUGUCUUAACAAGAAUGGAAAGAAUACUGAUUGUUAGUGGUUUUGAAUGAUACCUAGCUUCAAGCAAAGGUGCAAGAUGAGAAAAGAGGCUGUGGUGAGAAAAGAUUGUAACAGGACCUACUUAAAAGGAAGUGAAAACCUGAAGCCAGUGAAAUUAACUUCCUGCCAAUGUGGGGGACAAUGGCAGCAUGGAAAUGGAUACAAAGAAAGAACUUGUCACUUGGAGAAAUCCUGAUUGCAAGGCUAAGGCAGGAAAAG